GCUAGCUACAGGCUUAACACAUGCAAGUCGAGGGGCAUCAGGAAGAAAGCUUGCUUUCUUUGCUGGCGACCGGCGCACGGGUGAGUAACACGUAUCCAACCUGCCCUUUACUCGGGGAUAGCCUUUCGAAAGAAAGAUUAAUACCCGAUAGCAUAAUGAUUCCGCAUGGUUUCAUUAUUAAAGGAUUCCGGUAAAGGAUGGGGAUGCGUUCCAUUAGGUUGUUGGUGAGGUAACGGCCCACCAAGCCUUCGAUGGAUAGGGGUUCUGAGAGGAAGGUCCCCCACAUUGGAACUGAGACACGGUCCAAACUCCUACGGGAGGCAGCAGUGAGGAAUAUUGGUCAAUGGGCGCUAGCCUGAACCAGCCAAGUAGCGUGAAGGAUGAAGGCUCUAUGGGUCGUAAACUUCUUUUAUAUAAGAAUAAAGUGCAGUAUGUAUACUGUUUUGUAUGUAUUAUAUGAAUAAGGAUCGGCUAACUCCGUGCCAGCAGCCGCGGUAAUACGGAGGAUCCGAGCGUUAUCCGGAUUUAUUGGGUUUAAAGGGAGCGUAGGUGGACUGGUAAGUCAGUUGUGAAAGUUUGCGGCUCAACCGUAAAAUUGCAGUUGAUACUGUCAGUCUUGAGUACAGUAGAGGUGGGCGGAAUUCGUGGUGUAGCGGUGAAAUGCUUAGAUAUCACGAAGAACUCCGAUUGCGAAGGCAGCUCACUGGACUGCAACUGACACUGAUGCUCGAAAGUGUGGGUAUCAAACAGGAUUAGAUACCCUGGUAGUCCACACAGUAAACGAUGAAUACUCGCUGUUUGCGAUAUACAGUAAGCGGCCAAGCGAAAGCAUUAAGUAUUCCACCUGGGGAGUACGCCGGCAACGGUGAAACUCAAAGGAAUUGACGGGGGCCCGCACAAGCGGAGGAACAUGUGGUUUAAUUCGAUGAUACGCGAGGAACCUUACCCGGGCUUAAAUUGCAGUGGAAUGAUGUGGAAACAUGUCAGUGAGCAAUCACCGCUGUGAAGGUGCUGCAUGGUUGUCGUCAGCUCGUGCCGUGAGGUGUCGGCUUAAGUGCCAUAACGAGCGCAACCCUUAUCUUUAGUUACUAACAGGUUAUGCUGAGGACUCUAGAGAGACUGCCGUCGUAAGAUGUGAGGAAGGUGGGGAUGACGUCAAAUCAGCACGGCCCUUACGUCCGGGGCUACACACGUGUUACAAUGGGGGGGUACAGAAGGCAGCUAGCGGGUGACCGUAUGCUAAUCCCAAAAUCCUCUCUCAGUUCGGAUCGAAGUCUGCAACCCGACUUCGUGAAGCUGGAUUCGCUAGUAAUCGCGCAUCAGCCACGGCGCGGUGAAUACGUUCCCGGGCCUUGUACACACCGCCCGUCAAGCCAUGGGAGCCGGGGGUACCUGAAGUACGUAACCGCAAGGAUCGUCCUAGGGUAAAACUGGAGAC
rnacentral:rRNA from 1 species